AACGAACGCUGGCGGCAUGCCUAACACAUGCAAGUCGAACGAGACCUUCGGGUCUAGUGGCGCACGGGUGCGUAACGCGUGGGAACCUGCCCUUAGGUUCGGAAUAACUCCCCGAAAGGGGUGCUAAUACCGGAUAAUGUCUUCGGACCAAAGAUUUAUCGCCUUUGGAUGGGCCCGCGUUGGAUUAGCUAGUUGGUAGGGUAAAAGCCUACCAAGGCGACGAUCCAUAGCUGGUCUGAGAGGAUGAUCAGCCACACUGGGACUGAGAAACGGCCCAGACUCCUACGGGAGGCAGCAGUGGGGAAUAUUGGAAAAUGGGCGAAAGCCUGAUCCAGCAAUGCCGCGUGAGUGAUGAAGGCCUUAGGGUAGUAAAGCUCUUUUACCCGGGAUGAUAAUGACAGUACCGGGAGAAUAAGCACCGGCUAACUCCGUG
rnacentral:rRNA from 1 species